rnacentral:rRNA from 1 species
UACGGGGGGAGCAAGCGUUGUUCGGAUUUACUGGGCGUAAAGGGCGCGUAGGCGGCCACCGCAAGUCAAUUGUGAAAUCUCCGGGCUUAACUCGGAAAGGUCAACUGAUACUGCGGGGCUAGAGUGCGGAAGGGGCAACUGGAAUUCUCGGUGUAGCGGUGAAAUGCGUAGAUAUCGAGAGGAACACCUGCGGCGAAGGCGGGUUGCUGGGCCGACACUGACGCUGAGGCGCGAAGGCCAGGGGAGCAAACGGG